rnacentral:rRNA from 1 species
CGGUGUUCAACUGGCGUGCCCGCGGGACGUCCUGCCGGUGAGCUCAGCCCGCGAGGGCGGCUCAACUUGAAAUCCCAUCGCGGUGCUCUUCAUUGAGUGUCGAGGUGGGCCGGCACGAUUACUUUUGAACAAAUUAGAGUGCUUAAAGCAGGCUAAAAUUUUGCCUGAAUACUGUGUAUAUGGAAUAAUGGAAUAGGACCUCGGUUCUAUUUUGUUGGUUUUCGGAACCCCGAGGUAAUGAUUAAUAGGAACGGAUGGGGGCAUUCGUAUUGCGACGUUAGAGGUGAAAUUCUUGGAUCGUCGCAAGACGGACUAAAGCGAAAGCAUUUGCCAAAAACGCUUUCAUUGAUCAAGAACGAAAGUUAGAGGUUCGAAGGCGAUCAGAUACCGCCCUAGUUCUAACCAUAAACUAUGCCAGCUAGCGAUCCGCCGACGUCCCUCUGAUGACUCGGCGGGCAGCUUCCGGGAAACCAAAGCUUUUGGGUUCCGGGGGAAGUAUGGUUGCAAAGCUGAAACUUAAAGGAAUUGACGGAAGGGCACCACCAGGAGUGGAGCCUGCGGCUUAAUUUGACUCAACACGGGAAACCUCACCAGGCCCAAACACUGGAAGGAUUGACAGAUUGAGAGCUCUUUCUUGAUUCAGUGGGUGGUGGUGCAUGGCCGUUCUUAGUCGGUGGAGCGAUUUGUCAGGUUAAUUCCGAUAACGGACGAGACUCUGACCUGAUAACUAGACGCACUUGCGGCAUCUCAAAGGUCCGCCGGCGGCUGGCUUUGCGCCCGUCGUCGCGCGCGAUUUUUACUGCCGGCGUACAAUAAAUUCUUCUUAGAGGGACAAGUGG